rnacentral:rRNA from 1 species
GACGAACGCUGGCGGCGUGCUUAACACAUGCAAGUCGAACGGAAAGGCCCUGCUUUUGUGGGGUGCUCGAGUGGCGAACGGGUGAGUAACACGUGAGUAACCUGCCCUUGACUUUGGGAUAACUUCAGGAAACUGGGGCUAAUACCGGAUAGGAGCUCCUGCUGCAUGGUGGGGGUUGGAAAGUUUCGGCGGUUGGGGAUGGAAUCGCGGCUUAGCAGCUUGUUGGUGGGGUAGUGGCUUACCAAGGCUUUGACGGGUAGCCGGCCUGAGAGGGUGACCGGCGACACUGGGCCUGAGGUAGGGCCCAGUCUCCUACGGGCGGCAGUAGGGGGGGAUAUUGCACAAUGGGAGGAAGCCUGAUGCAGCGACGCCGCGUGCGGGAUGCCGGCCUGCGGGUUGUAAGCCGCUUUCGCAUGUGACGAAGCGUGAGUGACGGUAAUGGGUAAAGAAGCACCGGCUAACUACGUG